CUGUACUGUAUAUGCAUUUCUGUGCUUAACAACCACUUUCUUACAGAAGCAGAAAUCGUGUGUUGACUGAGAAUGCAUGACAUAUGAACCUAGUCCUCAAACAACAAGAAGAACCACAGCAAUUGGAAGGAUCUUGAAUUACAGCAUGAGGAGGGUUGUUAAAACAAAAGCUGAGCGUCACAUCAGAAAGACUCGCUCACAGCAGCGUCCCUGUGCCAGGUGAACAGAAUGGCUUUGUGUCGGUCUGCCAGCCUCCUCACCGUUGCACAGAAAGCAACAGAAUGCUGCAGAGUCUGCUGUGAUGAUUAGCACUGCGUCACACACCGGCUUCAGAUCGCCGCAGACGUGACAGCAUGGCUGAAAGUCACGGCAUCAAAGGAAGCGAUAUUAAUGCUGAAGGUCAGAACAUCAAUUCAGGCUGUUCUGCAAAAUUCCCAGUGAAGGACAGAGGCGCGGGUGUGUGUCAGGUGAACGGGAUCGGGUUCUGAAUGAAAGACUCGGAAGACGCACUUCAGGGAGAGGGUGCUUGCUUUCCAGGUCAUUAUUCAAACUCGACGUGAGAUCAGUUCAGCUGUGUUCAUGUUGAAGUGUCACGUAAGCCUGUUUCAAGGCCCAUUUACAAAAACACACUUUAUGAAUGAAAAAAAAAAAGUCAC